rnacentral:rRNA from 1 species
AGAACGAACGCUGGCGGCAUGCCUAAUACAUGCAAGUCGAACGAACACUUCGGUGUUAGUGGCGCACGGGUGCGUAACGCGUGGGAAUCUGCCCUUGGGUUCGGAAUAACAGUUGGAAACGACUGCUAAUACCGGAUGAUGACGAAAGUCCAAAGAUUUAUCGCCCAGGGAUGAGCCCGCGUAGGAUUAGCUAGUUGGUGAGGUAAAGCUCACAGGCGACGAUCCUAGCUGGUCUGAGAGGAUGAUCACGCCAACACGUGGGACUAGAGACACCGGCCAAGACUCCGACGGGAGCAGC